rnacentral:rRNA from 1 species
AUGCCGGGCGCGGCGCCGCUGCUGCUCCUGGCCUGCUGCUGCUUCUGCGUCUGGCCGCACAACCAAAUCUUGGUCGCCGCCACCACCGACGCCACUGACCUUACUGCCCUCAACACGCUCUUCACUAGCUUGAAUUCUCCGGGGCAGCUCAAAGGCUGGCAAGUGAAUGGCGGUGACCCCUGCGGCGAAUCAUGGCAGGGCAUCACUUGCUCAGGAUCGUCGGUUACAGCAAUCAAACUGCCAAGCUUGGGGCUGUCUGGGAAUUUGGGCUACAAUAUGAAUACCAUGAGUUCGUUGGUCGAGAUUGAUAUGAGCCAAAACAGCCUUGGUGGUGGACAAGCGAUACAGUACAAUCUCCCCACAGCUAAGCUUGAAAGGCUCAAUCUCGCAGGAAACCAGUUUGGUGGACAGAUACCUUACUCGAUCUUCUCGAUGAAUAAUCUUAAGUAUUUAAAUCUUAACCAUAACCAGUUACAAGGAAAAAUGACCGACGUAUUUUCCAACCUUGGUAGCUUGACAACAGUGGAUCUCUCCUUUAAUUCUCUUACUGGUGACCUACCAGAAGGUUUAAGUUCACUGUCAAGUGUUAAGACUCUAUAUUUGCAGAACAAUCAGUUGACCGGUUCUAUCAAUGUCCUAGCUGAUCUUCCCCUUUCUGAUCUGAAUGUUGCAAAUAAUCGCUUCACUGGUUGGAUUCCUAGUCAGCUUAAGAAGAUAAAUAGUCUACAGACUGAUGGUAAUUCUUGGACUUCGGGACCAGCUCCACCGCCACCGCCAUUUACAGCUCCACCUUCAAACCGUCGGAAGAGCCCAGCUAAAAAAGACAGUGGUUCAUCAUCUUCUGAUGGAAAGUCUGGAAUAAGUGGCGGAGCUGUAGCGGGCAUUGUCAUAUCUUUGCUGGUCGUUGGAGCAAUUAUUGCAUUUUUUGUGAUAAAAAGGAAGCGCAAAUCUAAAAGGGAAGAGCACUUUGAACAGCACCAGCCAUUCACUUCAUUCCCUUCAAACGAAGUUAAAGACAUGAAGCCUUAUGAAGAGUCAACCACAAUAGAUGUGGACUCGUUGGCUUCCCCUGCUUCAGUUGGUCUGAAGCCACCUGCCAAGAUUGAACGCAACAAGUCAUUCGAUGAUGAUGAUGACUUCUCAAGCAAACCUGUCGCAAGGAAAAACAAUACAAAACCUAUAAAGGCAGUUGUUUAUUCAGUUGCAGAUCUACAAAUAGCAACAGAUAGCUUCAGCAUGGACAACCUUGUUGGAGAGGGUACUUUUGGACGUGUCUACAGGUCACAGUUCAACGAUGGAAAGGUUUUGGCCGUGAAGAAACUAGAUUGUACUGUAAUACCAUUCCAAUCAUCUGAAGACUUUGUUGAACUGGUCUCAAACAUUUCGAUUCUGCACCAUCCGAAUCUCAAUGAGCUUGUGGGCUAUUGCAUGGAACAUGGACAACACUUGCUUGUGUACGAUUUCCACAGGAACGGAUCACUUCAUGAUCUACUUCAUCUUUCAGAUGAAUACAGCAAGCCACUUAGCUGGAACUCCCGCAUUAAGAUCGCACUAGGCUCUGCCCGAGCACUGGAGUAUCUUCAUGAAGUAUGUUCUCCGUCUGUCGUCCAUAAGAAUUUCAAGUCAUCCAACAUUCUGCUCGACUCAGAAUACAACCCACACGUUUCAGAUGCUGGACUUGCAAGCUUUAUUCCUGAUGCUGAGUUCCAGACUGCGGAACAGAGUGCCGGGUGCACUGCCCCAGAGGUGGACAUGACUGGCCAGUACACUAUGAAGAGCGAUGUCUACAGCUUUGGGGUUGUCAUGCUAGAGCUUUUGACGGGACGCAAACCAUUUGACAGCUCCAAGCCUAGGUCAGAGCAGUCACUCGUGCGGUGGGCGUCUCCCCAGCUCCACGACAUCGAUGCCCUGGACAGGAUGGUGGAUCCUGCGCUCAAGGGUCUGUACCCUGCCAAGUCCCUGUCCCGAUUCGCCGACGUGCUCGCCUUGUGUGUCCAGGCUGAGCCGGAAUUCAGGCCACCAAUGUCUGAGGUGGUGCAGGCGCUUGUCCGGCUGGUGCAGAGGGCCAACAUGACGAAGAAGAUGCUCGACGGCGACGCUUCCCGGCGAGGCGAUGACCAGGACCAGGAUUUCAUAUGA